rnacentral:rRNA from 1 species
GAUGAACGCUAGCGGGAGGCCUAAUACAUGCAAGUCGAACGGUAACAGGGUAGCAAUACCGCUGACGAGUGGCGCACGGGUGAGUAACACGUACACAAUCUGCCUUAUACUGGAGCAUACCCCCAAGAAAUUGGGACUAAUUCUCCAUAACAUAUUGAAAAGGCAUCUUUUUAAUAUUAAAACUCAGGUGGUAUAAGAUGAGUGUGCGUCUGAUUAGCUAGUUGGUGAGGUAACGGCUCACCAAGGCAACGAUCAGUAACUGGUCUGAGAGGAUGAUCAGUCACACGGACACUGAGACACGGGUCCGACUCCUACGGGAGGCAGCAGUAGGGAAUAUUGGACAAUGGGCGCAAGCCUGAUCCAGCCAUCCCGCGUGAAGGAUUAAGGCCCUCUGGGUUGUAAACUUCUUUUUUUUGGGAAUAAAACCGGAAUUCAUUUCGGCUUGAAGGUACCAGAAGAAUAAGCACCGGCUAACUCCGUGCCAGCCGCCGCUGUAAAAC